AAACCCGCAAAAGAACCGCAAAACAGCAAGCAACCCCCGCAGGAAGGGAGAGAGAGAGAGAUGCUUACAACACCCUUUUAUCGCUUGCGGAUGGGUGCAGCGUAGGGGGUGAUUUCAUCCGGUCGAUAUGAACUCUUCGCCUUGGUCACACACUCUACUGUGAGAUGUUGGAUGGUUCAUGUGUAUGUGUAUGUGUUUGUUUGUGCUCGGCUAAAGGGGUGCGUAACAACAUCGCAACAUUGCACUAAACCGCGUUGUCGUUGUUAUGCGAUCCUCAAGCGGGGCCACUUACACACGCCCGAACCCCGAACCGCGCAGUUACAAACGGAGUGGCUAAACCGAAAGAAAUACACAUUGGAAGCACAACUACAGCAACAACAUUACACGUGUGGAGCGGCAUGCGAGUUUUGACCGAGAUUUGAUCCAACCAGCAACCGUCAAAUGAUCGUCAAAGAGGGGGCAAACGCUUUUAACGACCUUCACGGCUUCAAGUUCCAGUUAGUCGCCGGUGAAAAAGUUUGUUUUUUUUCUCUUAUUUUGGUAGCACUCAACAUCAUCGCCCCACUUGUGGUUAGGGUUGGUUGAGUGUGUUCGAGGGGUUUCUAUGUAUUUUCACCCGAUGCGUCAUUGCCGGCUGUUUAAAGCCGUACUUUUCGGGCCACCGUUGAAACAUUAUAGUUUUGGGUAAUCGUAUUCUCUUAUUUGGAUCAGUUUUGCUUUUUACUUGCUCAUUCACUUAACUAUUGACUAUUGCACUCGGAGUUGGAGUUCUUGUCACGUAAACUGAAUAUUGGUGUAUAGAUGAUUAGGUAACUUGCUCCAUUAGUCAUUUUAUUGCCUUGACAAUGCAACAAACUUUACAAUGCUUUUAAAGGAUCUUAAAUGCUGUUGCUCUUUUAAGGAUUAACUUAAUCUAAAAUUUGUGUCAUAAUCAUGAAUUUGAUCAAUUGACAAAUCAAAAAGUAAAAAAUUGUACAUCAAUAUGGCUUACGAGUUUUGAAGAACUCUUUUCGGACCGUACAUAAACACCUUUUUCAUUUUUUAGGCAGCUUUUAGUCCAGUCCGUGGUACAUCCGUCAACUCGUACGACUUAAUAGCAUGCGCGUCGUGGGUUCAAGCCUCAUAUGGAUUGUCGUCGCCCCGUAACAAGGACAGACUUGACAAUUCGGGUGUGUGGUAAUCAAUAAGUCUCAAAAGCCUAUAUAUGCAGGCAUUACCGUAUAGGCCGUUCAUAAAAACUCGUAGUUCGUAAAAACUAAAUUAUCUUCUCAUGUGUACAAUCGUCCAUGUAAUCAUAACUAUGCCAUAUGUUGGUUGUUUGAUUUUGGCAAACAAUAAAGCUCUUCUUCUUCUUCUUCUUUUGGCUCAACAACCGUUGUCGGUGAAGGCCUGCCUGCACCACUUGUGGGGUUUUCUUUCAGUGACUUAUGGAAUAUCCCCCCAUAGCAGGAUAGUCAAGUCCUACGUAUGGCGGCACAUCCGUAUGGGGGCUUGAACCCAUUACGGGCAUGUUGUUAAGUCGUACGAGUUGAGAACUGUACCAAGAGACCGGCCAGAGAAUAAAGUAAAAUAUUUAUUUUUGUUUGGACGCAUUCAAUGUACUGAUAGGUCAUCCAUCAAAUGACCGCAAAACAUAGUGCACAAAACCAGGAUCAUCAGGUGUAGCAGUACCGUCUAUUCCGUGAAGCAUCGUCGCCAAUAAAACGGAAUGGCUAUUUGGUUGUUAGCAGUGAGAGCUCUUUCUUGAGAACCAUGAAUACUACAACAUGGCCGUGGAGGUAUCAUUCAUAACACCAGGAUCAGAGAGUACUAUCACGACUUCGGAUUAACUAUACCAGGCUCAUCUACACCUUUUUGCUAAAGGCUAUCCCACCACUAUGCAGUUGCUGUUGCGUUGAUAUAACCAUGCGCUACAUUUUCACCGAAUGCCAUAGGUACAAUGGACGACUAUCAUUUCACCAGACAUGGAUUUCCAGCAAAAACUUAUAAACCAAACAAUAAUUUCAAAUGAAAACAAUUAAAUAAUUACAAAUAAUAAAUAAGAAAGUUAAAUUAUAAGAUCAGAUUUAAGUUUGUGAUUAAAAGAGGCAAAUUAGGCAUAGGUCCAAUAUGUCAAAACACUCUAAGCAAUAAAUUUAAAAGAAACAAUUUAUUGAUCCACUAUAUAAAAAUAUAUGUAUCCGUAAGAAAUAUGCUUGUAAAUUGACAUCGUUAAUCGUAGAGUUCUCGUCAAGACAUUUAACCUAGCAAAAUUCGAUCUGACCUGUAUUGUGUAUACUGAAAUUAUUGCAUUACUAAAAUUACUGAAAUUACUUGAACAUUUAAUUUUAAAUCUACUUAACAGCACUUAGAGUUCAAAACCUGGCAAGUAUGUCAUUUUAGAAAAUAUUAAUAUUAAAAAACUUGAUCAAACUCAACCGUUCAGCCGUUCAUUUGGCAUAGUAAUAAUUAUCUUUUGUUACCGUGCUGCUUUUCUGAAUGCUUCAUCAAUAUUCCUAUCAAUAAAAAAAAAGUCGAAUCUUUCAUUUAAAUGAAAUUCAACUUCAAAAAGUUUGUCAAACACUUGGCUUAGGUGCUAAACUAAUAAACGCGUAAAACUCUAUCGCCGCAGCAUUGUCGAUCUUGGGCGAAGUUUUUACUUCUCUUGUCAGUAGAAUAUUGCAAGCAAGCAAUAAUAUAAAGCAAGCACUUCGUGAAGAAAUAAAUAUAAUGCAAAACAUGACACUGACAAACCCAGAUCCUGACAUACGCUGAUGACAUAGACAUCAUUGAUCUGCGGCUCUCCUAUGUAGCAGAAGCCUACCAAGGGAUCGAGCAGGCGGCAGAGAACCUCGGAUUGCAGAUAAACUCAGCAACUCUUUCAACAACAAAUCCAAACUUACGUAGGCGUGACGUACAGAUGUAGGUGAACGCACUUUUGAAGUCUUCCCAGAAUUAACCUAUCUAGGGUCAAAGGUCAGCAACGGCAAAAGCAUGGUAAUUGAGUUGCGCGCAAGGUUGUUGGCUGCCAACCGGUCAUUCUACAGCCUGAAAAAUCAGUUCACCUCAAAGAACAUGUCGCAACGCACGAAGCUGGGACUCUAUAGCACCUAUAUAUAUAUAUAGCGUUUUCGGACACUCCUGAGGCAGACCAAGACCGCAAAGCAGCGCCGGAUGAGUAAAGUAAGUAAGUAAAACAUGCCAAUAGUGUGUAAUCUUAACAAACAUAUUUGUUUAGUUACUUUAAGGUUAUAGAUCGUUACUUAUCGCGCAUCAAUCCUCUAAGUGACACAUUCAAACACAUCCAUACCACGCCGCCAGGACCUAAAACCUCUCACUACACCUUGCGGGUAAAGUAUGGUACCAUGGCCAAUGGUACCGGAUAGUUUCGCAACCAUUUCGGACCAGUGUGCAGUUCGCCACUGUU